rnacentral:rRNA from 1 species
AAGGAUCAUUAACGAAUAACUAUGGUGUCUUGGUUGUAGCUGGCUCCUCGGAGCAAUGUGCACGCCCGCCACUUUUA